UACGUAGGGGGCAAGCGUUGUCCGGAAUCAUUGGGCGUAAAGAGCGUGUAGGCGGUUCGGUAAGUCGGCUGUGAAAGUCCAGGGCUCAACCCUGGGAUGCCGGUCGAUACUGCCGGACUAGAGUUCGGAAGAGGCGAGUGGAAUUCCCGGUGUAGCGGUGAAAUGCGCAGAUAUCGGGAGGAACACCUAUGGCGAAGGCAGCUCGCUGGGACGUUACUGACGCUGAGGCGCGAAAGCUAGGGGAGCAAACAGG
rnacentral:rRNA from 1 species